GAAAUGCGAUAAGUAAUGUGAAUUGCAGAAUUCCGUGAAUCAUCGAAUCUUUGAACGCACAUUGCGCCCUCUGGCAUUCCGGGGGGGCAUGCCUGUCCGAGCGUCAUUACGCACCCUCAAGCCCGGCUUGUGUGAUGGGCCCUGGCGUCUCGUUCGCGAGACGGGUCCGAAAGGCAGCGGCGGCGUCGACCCGAUGAGCCCGAGCGUAUGGGGACUUUUGUCACACGUUUGCGGUGCGGACCGGCGCCUGCUUGACUUUUCUGAUUAUCCAGGUUGACCUCGGAUCAGGUAGGGAUACCCGCUGAACUUAAGC
rnacentral:misc_RNA from 1 species